AUGGAGCUGGGGCUGAGCUUGGGGGAGGCCAUGGCGGACGCCGGGCGGGAGCUGGUUCUUGGGCUCGGGGUCGGCCCGGGGGCGAGGAGGGAGGAGGAGCGGAGGAGGGACCAGGAUGUCGACAGGAGGGGCCUCGCGCUGGGGUGCGGCUCCUCGCCGGAGCCGACGAUGCGGCUCGCGCUCCUGCCCAUGGUGCCCAGCCUCGGCUUCCCGUGGCCGUCCGAGAGCAGGCAUUUGGAGGCGUCGACGCGGGGGUUCGACGUCAACCAGGCGCCGUCGUCCGGGGGCUCGGCCUGGGGCGCCUGCGCGGCGGCGGAGGAGGAGCAGGAGGGCACCGCCGCGGCGGCGCGGGCGGCCGUGUCGUCCUCGCCCAACGACAGCGGGGGCUCCUUCCCGAUGGACUUCUCCGCGCAGGGCGAGCGCGGCGCCAGCGACGCCGCCCCGGGAGGCGCCGGCGGCUCGCGCGGCAGCGACGAGGACGACGGCGGCUCGGCGCGCAAGAAGCUGCGCCUCUCCAAGGAGCAGGCCGCGUUCCUGGAGGAGAGCUUCAAGGAGCACAGCACCCUCAACCCCAGGCAGAAGGUGGCGCUGGCGAAGCAGCUCAACCUCCGGCCGCGCCAGGUGGAGGUGUGGUUCCAGAACCGCAGGGCCAGGACGAAGCUGAAGCAGACGGAGGUGGACUGCGAGUACCUGAAGCGCUGCUGCGAGACGCUGACGGAGGAGAACCGGCGGCUGCAGAAGGAGCUGGCGGAGCUGCGCGCGCUCAAGACAGUGCACCCCUUCUACAUGCACCUCCCGGCGACCACCCUCUCCAUGUGCCCCUCCUGCGAGCGCGUCGCCUCCAACUCCGCCCCGGCGCCCGCGGCCGGGGCGCCCGGCUCAGGCGCCGGCAUUGCUUCGCCGGCCGCUCCGGAGCAGAACAGGCCCUCGUCGUUCGCCGCGCUGUUCUCGUCGGCCAGGAGCUUCCCGCUGGCCGCCCCCCAGCCGCAACCUCCAUUGCCGGCGCCGUCGAGCUCGUGA
rnacentral:rRNA from 1 species